GGGCGAGUGGCGGAAUUGGCAUACGCGCACGGCUUAGAACCGUGUCCGAAAGGGUGGAGGUUCGAGUCCUCUCUCGCCCACCA
rnacentral:tRNA from 1 species